rnacentral:rRNA from 1 species
UACGAAGGUGGCGAGCGUUACUCGGAAUUACUAGGCGUAAAGCGCAGGUAGGUGGUUGGAUAAGUCUGUUAUGAAAUCUCCCGGCUUAACUGGGAGCGGUUAAUGGAUACUGUCCGGCUCGAGUGUGGGAGAGGUUACUGGAAUUCCAGGUGUAGCGGUGAAAUGCGUAGAUAUCUGGAGGAACACCAAUGGCGAAAGCAGGUAACUGGCCCAAUACUGAAGCUGAGCUGCGAAAGCUAGGGGAGCAAACAGG